AAAAUCUAGCUUUGCUUCUCUUUCUAGACCUCAGAGCAAACUGGGUUCCCGUCCUCCAGUUAUCAGCUUUUAUUUGCGGGGAUUUCUCAGAAAGGACCAUGCGGUCUCGUCAACACUUGGUCGUCACCCUGGUGUGCGUCUCGAUGAUUGAGGUGCUCCUGCUCCCGAGAGGAGGCAGAGCGCAGUCGGUAACCCAGCUAGAUGGCCACCUUGCUGUACCUGAGGGAUCCCCUCUGGAGCUGAAGUGCAACUAUUCAUCUUCUUUGCCGCCCUAUCUCUUCUGGUACGUGCGGUACGCCGGCCAAGGUCUCCAGUUUCUCUUGAGGAGUACGUCAGGGAGCGAGCUGGUUUCAGGCAUGAAAGGUUUUGAGGCUGAAUUCAGGAAGAACGAAAACUCCUUCCACCUGAGAAAGCCCUCUGCCCACUGGAGCGAUUCUGCUGAGUACUUCUGUGCCCUGACUACCACAGUGCGAGGAACUCCAGGGGGAGCUGUACCCAAACCACCGUGGGCACGCACGCAACUGAGGGAUCUCAUCCUCUGUGAUCCUGCAGGGAGCUUGUUUGCUUUGGUGUGUUUGAUGUCAGCCUUUUUGCAAAGGACUCUCCUGUUCCAAAGCGCAGUGCAUCUCACGGGUCAGGAUCCUAGAAUGAGUUAUGGGACGUUCAACAAGUUGCAGAAAGCUCUUUCUUGCUUCUUUUUCUUUGGAGGUAGUGGUGGCUUGAAGAUGGCUUGAAGUUGACCUUACAAGAGGAUGUAAGGCAAACCAGAGACUUGAUUUGUAUUAUUAAUCUCAUCUCUCAAGCAACCAGAAAAUCCAAGACAAGUGUUUCAUUUAUUUUUUCUAACAGGCUGCAUUUUCUACAGGUUGUUUAUACUCAGCAUCCUGACUUCUGUGAUUUGAAAUUCUCUGAGGAAAAGUGUUGGAGGUGUUUGAGAUUGGGAGAAGUAACUAAACCUGGAACCUGGACAUGCCUGCAAGUCUAUCUCUCAAAACCAACAUGAUGGGGAAGGAGAAGGACCUGGAUGCAGCGGACCCCAGUCAGCAGCAUUCCAAAUCAAACCCAAGGUCCUGCCAGAACGGCCUUUUAGUUUUUUUAAUCAGACCCACCAGGUUAUCUCACUUCUCCUUUUUCUCCCUUCUAAUCCAAUUUCUCUAAUACCUGUAGAAUAUCCAAUAUCAGUUAGUGAUUCUGUAAUCAUGAUUACUUAUUUUCCUGCAUUCUUCUUCAAAGUGCCAAAAGUAGGCUUUUGAGAACUUGAACAAUUCAGCUCAUCUUCAGUGUUUGUGGGUGACUUUACUUUCUAAUUCAGGGACAAUAGAAGGGUCUCCACUUUCUACCCAAAUCCAUUCACAUACCAUCAUUAUUGCAUACAGCCUGGGACAAGAUCACAAAAGAAAUCACUUUCAUUUAUUUCCCCCAAACAUUCAUUUUCCUUAUAAA